rnacentral:misc_RNA from 1 species
AAGUCGUAACAAGGUUUCCGUAGGUGAACCUGCGGAAGGAUCAUUAAAAAAUCGCCUGAGCCGCAAGGCUCUAUUAUCUUGUGAAACGUUUGUGGAGAUCUCUGGUGGUGACGUGCGGGCGACUCGCUCGCCGACGCUGCCACGAUAGACUCCCCAAUUAUUAUUAAAUGUACGUCUUUGAUGCUGAGGAAUGUAUGUCUAUAAUGCAUAUACAACUUUCAACAGUGGAUCUCUCGGCUCUU